rnacentral:lncRNA from 1 species
UUACAUUGCGAAGCCUGGUUUCCCCCUUGCUCACCUUCUCUCUCUCUUCUUCUCUCCUUUGCUUGCCCUGAUGGAAUCCAGUUGCUGUGAUGGAAGCUGCCCCAUAGAGAGGUCCACAUGGCAGUGAGGACCUGUGGGCUGCUAACAGCCACAUGACUGAGCCUGGGAGCGGACUAACCCCCAGUUGAACCUUGAGAUGAAGAGUGCAAACUCAUGAGAGACCUCGAGUCAGAUGAACCAACUAGAUCACACUGGAUUCCUGACCUACAGAAGACUAGGAGAACAAACUCUCCAGCCGGCUGCAUUUCCCCUGCCCUUAAGAGACCUGGGGGGAGAACUCUCAAACCAAUAGGGCAGUCGUCAAAGCGACACCAAGAGGUAAACCCCACGUGAAUAAGAGACGUAACACUUUACCGCACAGGAGUAA